rnacentral:snoRNA from 1 species
GGACUAUCGAGCAUUUUCUAAUUAACUCCUUAAAUCACUCCCAUGUUUCAUAUAAUGUUUCAUCCUCAGAUUACCGAAAGGACGUAAUAUCGUUCCUCAGUUU